rnacentral:rRNA from 1 species
GUGAGGAAUAUUGCGCAAUGGAGGCAACUCUGACGCAGCCAUGCCGCGUGCAGGAAGAAGGCGCUACGCGUUGUAAACUGCUUUUAACCGGGAAGAAACCCCAGGACGUGUCCUGGGUUGACGGUACCGGAGGAAUAAGCACCGGCUAACUUCGUGCCAGUAGCCGCGGUAAUACGAAGGGUGCAAGCGUUAUCCGGAUUCAUUGGGUUUAAAGGGUGCGUAGGCGGAGCGUUAAGUCAGUGGUGAAAUCCUGCAGCUUAACUGUAGACUUGCCAUUGAUACUGGCGCUCUUGAGUGCGCUUGAAGUGGGCGGAAUGUGCCGUGUAGCGGUGAAAUGCUUAGAUAUGGCACAGAACACCAAUUGCGAAGGCAGCUCACUAAGGCGAUACUGACGCUGAGGCACGAAAGCGUGGGGAUCGAACAGGAUUAGAUACCCUGGUAGUCC